UACGUAGGUGGCAAGCGUUGUCCGGAUUUAUUGGGCGUAAAGCGCGCGCAGGUGGUGCGGUAAGUCUGCCGUGAAAUCUCCCGGCUUAACUGGGAGGGUGCGCUAUAGACUGUGGGGCUAGAGUGUGGGAGAGGAAAGUGGAAUUCCUGGUGUAGCGGUGAAAUGCGUAGAUAUCAGGAGGAACACCGGUGGUGUAAACGGCUUUCUGGACCAUAACUGACGCUGAGGCACGAAAGCGUGGGUAGCAAACAGG
rnacentral:rRNA from 1 species